rnacentral:rRNA from 1 species
UACGUAGGGUGCAAGCGUUGUCCGGAAUUAUUGGGCGUAAAGAGCUCGUAGGCGGUCUGUUGCGUCGGCUGUGAAAACCCGGGGCUCAACUCCGGGCCUGCAGCCGAUACGGGCAGACUAGAGUUCGGCAGGGGAGACUGGAAUUCCUGGUGUAGCGGUGAAAUGCGCAGAUAUCAGGAGGAACACCGGUGGCGAAGGCGGGUCUCUGGGCCGAUACUGACGCUGAUGCGCGAAAGCUAGGGGAGCGAACGGG